GUCCGGGUGGCGCAAUGGUAGCGCGCGAGUUUCCGGUACUCGAGGUUGCGUGUUCGAGUCGCGCCUCGGACG
rfam:Aspergillus carbonarius ITEM 5010 unplaced genomic scaffold ASPCAscaffold_6, whole genome shotgun sequence.